UCGGACGUGGUGCACGGCGCACGCCCGCUCUCCUAGCGAUGCCUUCUCUGACUGAUACGGGGAGUCUGGGUUCGACUCCCAGCGUCCGAA